rnacentral:rRNA from 1 species
GGCUCAGAACGAACGCUGGCGGCGUGCUUAACACAUGCAAGUCGAACGCGAAAGGGACUUCGGUCCUGAGUAAAGUGGCGCACGGGUGAGUAACGCGUAGAUAACCUGUCUUCAUGUCUGGAAUAAUACGCCGAAAAGGGGGUACUAAAUACCGGAUAUUCUUGCUUUUCAUAAGUUAUGCAAGCAAAGGUGGCCUCUGCGUAUGCUACUGCAUGAAGAGGGGUCUGCGUACCAUUAGCUAGGUAGGUGGGGUAAUGGCCUACCUAGGCGACGAUGGUUAGCGGGUCUGAGAGGAUGAUCCGCCACACUGGCACUGGAACACGGGCCAGACUCCUACGGGAGGCAGCAGUGAGGAAUAUUGCGCAAUGGGGGAAACCCUGACGCAGCGACGCCGCGUGAGUGAAGAAGGCCUUCGGGUCGUAAAGCUCUGUCAAGAGGAAAGAAGUGUACAAUGGCUAAUACCUGUUGUAUUUGACGGUACCUCUAAAGGAAGCACCGGCUAACUCCGUGCCAGCCGCGGC